UAUUAUUCUUAAAUAAAUGUAGCCCGAGGUUAGUAAUAGAUAUUUACUUAAAAGCUAAAAAAUUUGGCGGUAAUUAAAUCCUUUCAGAGGAACUUGUUUUUUAAUCGAUACACCCCGAAAUAUCUUGCUUGUUUUAGUAAAGUUUGUAUACCAUCAUUAUCAGGUAAUUUUUAAAAAAAUAAUUUCUGAAUAUAAAAGUUUAUAUAAAUUAGAUCAUGGUGCAGCUAAUAAAUAAGUUAAAAUGAGUUACAAUAAAUUUUUUUAUACGGAUAGCUAAAGAAUAUAGGUUAUAGAAGGUGGAUUUGUUAGUAUUUAAAAUUUAAUAAGUUUUAGAGAUGGUGGCUCUUAAUUAUGUACAUAU
rnacentral:rRNA from 1 species